rnacentral:rRNA from 1 species
GCCAGACUCCUACGGGAGGCAGCAGUGGGGGAUAUUGCACAAUGGGGGGAACCCUGAUGCAGCGACGCCGCGUGGGUGAAGGAGCGUUUCGGCGCGUAAAGCCCUAUCGGCAGGGAAGAAGGAGGACGGUACCUGACUAAGAAGCCCCGGCUAACUACGUGCCAGCAGCCGCGGUAAUACGUAGGGGGCAAGCGUUAUCCGGAUUUACUGGGUGUAAAGGGGGCGCAGACGGCAGCGCAAGCCAGGAGUGAAAGCCCGGGGCCCAACCCCGGGACUGCUCUUGGAACUGCGCGGCUGGAGUGCAGGAGGGGCAGGCGGAAUUCCUGGUGUAGCGGUGAAAUGCGUAGAUAUCAGGAGGAACACCGGUGGCGAAGGCGGCCUGCUGGACUGCGACUGACGUUGAGGCCCGAAAGCGUGGGGAGCAAACAGGAUUAGAUACCCUUGUACAC